rnacentral:misc_RNA from 1 species
GAUGAAGAACGCAGCGAAAUGCGAUAAGUAAUGUGAAUUGCAGAAUUCAGUGAAUCAUCGAAUCUUUGAACGCACCUUGCACCCUUUGGCAUUCCGAAGGGUAUGCUCGUUUGAGUGUCAUUGUACUCUCACACUUCCAAUCUUUGGAUUGGGAGCAGUGGACUUGGGUGUUGCUGCUUACUGUGGCUCACCUCAAAUCGAUUCGUGCACCUCUUGGUUGGACAUAGUACGGCGUGAUAAGUGUCUUCGCCGGCACCUCAGUAGAGGGUGGCUGAUCAGGAGCUCUGUGCUUCAAACCGUCCUCGGACAAAAACUGACAACUUGACCUCAAAUCGAGUAGGACUACCCGCUGAACUUAAGCAUAUCAAUAAGCGGAGGA